GACGAUGAUGAUGCUUGCUUGGCAUGCUAUAGCCCCUCCUUGGUAGCAUGCUAUUGACAAGUAUCCGUCCCGAUUGCUAGGUGUACGUUGGAUUGGUGUGGUGCGGCCCGUUGUGAUUCCGUGUUGGUUUGCUGAAAUUGUCGGAGCGUUCUCCCGUCUUGUGCAGUAACUUGCGUUGUGACAAGGUAUCCUAUGGAACGAUGUGGCACGGGUAGGGGAAAAUCUCGAUUGGAGUUGCGAGGCGUUGACGUAGCCUGAACGGAGUUUGAUUCCGUGUUGGUUUGCUGAAAUUGUCAGAGCAUUCUCCCGUCUUGUGCAGUAACCUGCCUUGUGACAAGGUAUCCUAUGGAUCGAUGUGGCACGCGUAGGGGAAAAUCUCGAUUGGAGUUGCGAGGCGUUGACGCAGCCUGGACGGAGUUUACCUUCGUGUCGUGCGAUGCCGGUGUUUACGUGUUUUUCGUCCCGAUGAGACCCGAUUGCUAGGUGUACGUUGGAUCGAUGUGGUGCGUCGCGUUGCGAUUUCGUGUUGGUUUGCUAAAAUUGUCAGAGCAUUCUCCUGUCUUGUGCAGUAACCUGUCUUGUGCCAAGGUAUCCGAUGGAUCGAUGUGGCACGGGUAGGGGAAAAUCUCGAUUGGAGUUGCGAGGCGUUGACGCAGCUUGGACGGAGUUUGCUAUCGUGUCGUGCGACAUCAUGGUUUUUGUGUUUCUCGUACCGUUCGGUGCAUUUCGGGAGCUUCUUCGUGCUCGUAGUUGUUUGCUUGGCGUUCGUGCCGGGUUUGUGGCUACUUGUGCGGGUCGUUUCAUGGAAUGAAUAUCGUAAAGGUGCAUGAGUGGUGCUUGGUUUGUUGCUGGUGGUUGGAUGACUGCAUUCGCAGCAACGUCCACUGGGGCAUACCUCUUCAUUUACGGCGAACGGUUCUACCGAACCGGGAGCAUUUUUUGGGUUUUCCUGUGCUGUGUACCUACUUUAGGGCAUGCUAUCGGUUGGUUAAUGUGGAUUUUCAUUCCAUGUCACUCGCGUGGCGUGGGAUGAACUAGAACUGGCCCCUCUAUGAUCCGUGUCUUUGACGCAUUGUGUUUUUGGCAUGGCCCAUUGGGUGUGGCUUGGUUUCUUGGAUACGGAACCUUAUGUGGGCAUGGGGUCGCCUAAGCGACCUCGCCUUUGCCCUCGUCAAGCGUUCUUGCUUCUAAAUAACAACACGCGGUCGUGCAUCGACUUGUUGAUC
rnacentral:misc_RNA from 1 species